AUAAAAGGAAAAAAUAUUGAAAAUAUGAACUCGACGCGAUUCGAACUCAAAGGUUUGUCGAGACAGGCCAAACGACCUACCACUAAGCCACCGAGGGAGAACGAAAGUUUAUGUCAAAUUAAACACUAUAGCUAAUUGUCGUGACGCGCUUAUCUUAUGCGGUGAAAUAGUUUAUUAGGCGGUGAAUUGCGGUGAAGAAUUUUGGCAGUUCGAGGCAACUUAGAACGCCAUGGUGGCAGCACUUUCCUUGCGAUAGUAACUUCUAGUAUUUGCUUAUACUGUAUGUUGUAUUUGAGCCAAAGUAUACGGUAUACCACACUCAAUUUCACUCUUUAAACUAUUUGGCAGCUUCUCUCAAACAGCCAAAACUAGUUACGCGAGUUGAAAUAAAACACCUCAAAUAAUAUCGAACGGAAUUAUCUGUUAGAAAUGAUUGGAUCUCUUCGAGCCAGGCUCAACAUACCAAUAUUUCCAACUACUUGCAAAGCGAUUUCUCAUAUGAAGAUGUAAAAAGAAUAAAAACAGCUGGAUAGAAAUAAAAGGAAAAAAAAUUAAAAAUAUGAAGUCGACGCGAUUCGAACUCAAAGGUUUGUCGAGGCAGGCUAAACGCCAUACCACUAAGCCACCGAGGGAGAACCAAAGUAAUUAUCAUGAUCGGACGGGUAAGGAUUCAUUUGCAUAUACGUAUACUGUCUCAAAGUUUAUAUGUCAAAAUGUGUUUUAAAAUUCUCCUGAGACAAAACUUUCUACAUCAUUUUGUGUUUUGAACAUUUCUAAGUCGGUCCAUGCCGAAAAAACUUUUUCGAUCAGCUCGAAAUUUUCUAAUCUCAAACUUUAGUUGACUCAAGAUUGAUCCCACGGGUAACGGUUAAGCCUAAUAGUAUUUAUAAUGAUCGGACGGGUAAGGAUUCAUUUGCAUAUACGUAUACUGUCUGAAAGUUUAUAUGUUAAAAUGUGCUUUAAAAUACUCCUGAGCCAAAACUUUCUGCAUCAUUAUGCGUUUUGAACAUUUCUAAGUCGGUCCAUGACGAAAAAACUUUUUCGAUCAGCUCGAAAUUUUCUAAGUCUCAAACUUUAGUUGACUCAAGAUUGAUCCCACGGGUAACGGGUAAGCCUAAUAGUAUUUAUAAUGAUCGCACGGGUAAGUAUUCAUUUGCAUAUACGUAUACUGUCUCAAAGUUUAUAUGUCAAAAUGUGCUUUAAAAUUCUCCUGAGCCAAAACUUUCUGCAUCAUUUUGUCUUUUGAACAUUGCUAAAUCGGUCAAUCACGAAAAACUUUUUCGAUCUGCUCGAAAUUUUCUAAGUCUCAAACUUUAGUUGACUCAAGAUUGAUCCCACGGGUAACGGGUAAGCCUAAUAGUAUUUAUAAUGAUCGGACGGGUAAGGAUUCAUUUGCAUAUACGUAUACUGUCUGAAAGUUUAUAUGUUAAAAUGUGCUUUAAAAUUUUCCUGAGCCAAAACUUUCUGCAUCAUUAUGCGUUUUGAACAUUUCUAUAAGUCGGUCCAUGACGAAAAAACGUUUUCGAUCAGCUCGAAAUUUUCUAAGUCUCAAACUUUAGUUGACUCAAGAUUAAUCCCACGGGUAACGGGUAAGCGUAACACUAUUUAUAAUGAUCGGACGGGUAAAGGCGGUUUUCCACGAGGCGAAAUUUUUCGACCGAAACGAAAUUUCUCUUUGUCUUUUUACAAUUAGUUCUGCUUGACAGCUCAUGAAACAAAGAGAAAUUUCGAUUCGGUCGAAAAAUUUCGCCUAGUGGAAAACCGCCUACGGCGGAAAUCGAAAAAAUCUACAUACAUCUAGUACAACCCAAGACAGAGAAUAUCGAAGAAUUGUAAUAUGUUAGCUGCUUGCAUUGUUGCCAUCAUGGUAUAGUGGUAAAGACUGAGGCCAUCAUGAGCGUAUGUUGUUGACCGUUCCCAGGUAAAACUCUCGUAACUUUUCGUAUAAUUUUUUUCUUUAUUUCUUUUUGCCAUUAUUUUUCCAAAACAUCUCUAAAUCGCUCCUUCUAACGGCUGAAUAUUCAUUUUUAUAUAUUUUUUUGUUUAUUAGGACAAUUUUGAGUUGAUUUAACCAAGGAUGACGAGAGAUGAACAAGGAUGUAGAGCGCUGAAGAGAAUUCUUCGGUAGGAUGAAAUCAAAAAAAUCUACAUACAGUUAGUACAACCCAAAACAGAGAAUAUGGAAGAAUUGUAAUAUGUUAGCUCUCUUCAUUGUUGCCAUCAUGGUAUAGUGGUAAAGAAUGGCCCUCCUAACUCCUAAAUACUCAUAUUUUGAUAAUUUUUUGUAUAUUAGGACAAUUUGUAGUCGAUUUAACCAAGGAUGACGAGGGAUGAACAAGGACGUAGAGCGCUGAAGAGAAUUCUUCUCUAUAGGGUGAAAUCGAAAAAAUCUACAUACAGCUACUACAACGCAAAACAGAGAAUAUUGAAGAAUUGUAAUAUGUUAGCUGUUUACAUCGUUGCCAUCAUGGUAUAAUGAUAAAGACUGUGGCCGUCAUGAGCGUAUGUUGUUGACCGUUUCCAGGUAAAACUCUCGUAACUUUUCGUAUAAUUUUUUUUGUUUAAUUCUUUUUGCCAUUAUUUUUCCAAAUCUCCCUAAAUAGCUCCUCCUAACAGCUGAAUAUUCAUAUUUUGAUAAUUUUUUUGUAUAUUAGGGCAAUUUUGAGUCGAUUUAACCAAGGAUGACGAUUGAUAAACAAGGAUGUAGAGCGCUGAAGAGAAUUCUUCUGUAGGGUGAAAUCGAAAAAAUCUACUUUCAGCUAGUACAACCCAAAACAGAGAAUAUUGAAGAAUUGGAAUGUGCUAGCUGUCUACAUUGUUGCCACAUGGUAUAGUGGUAAAGACUGAGGCCAUCAUGAGCGAAAGUUGUGGCCCGUUCCCAGGUAAAACUCUCGUAACUUUUCGUAUAAUUUUUUCUUUAUUUCUUUUUGCCAUUAUUUUUCCCAAAAGUCUUUAAAUUGCUCUUCAUAACAGCUUAAUACUCAUAUUUUGAUAAUAUUUUGUAGAUUUAGACAAUUUUGAGUCGACUUAACCAACGAUGACGAGGGCGUUCACAACGAUGUAGAGCGAUGAAGAGAAUCGUAUGUAGGGUGAAAUCCAAUAAAUCUGCAUAUACAUGCAGCUAGGUCAACCCAAAAUAGAAUAUUGAAGUUUUGUAAUCUGUUAGCCUACCGGUUUCCAUCGUUGCCAUCAUGGUAUAGUGGUAAAGACUGAGGCCAUCCUGAGCGAAAGUUGUGGACCGUUCCCAGGUAAAACUCUCGUAACUUUUCGUAUAAUUUUUCUUUAUGUUUACGAUGUCACUCUGAGUGCAUAUCCACACCGGGCGAGCUUGAAAAAUAUGCCCGGCCACGGUGGGAUUCGAACCUACGACCUUUGGAAUACUAGCCCAAUGCUCUUCCAACUGAGCUACGCGGUCAGGACUGUCCGCAAACAUAUUAUUCACCUGAGUACACAAUACCAACACAGAAAAAAAUUAAUUUUUCUUUAUUUCUUUUUGCCAUUAUUUUUCAAAAAAAGUGGCUAAAUCGCACCUCCUAACAGCUGAAUAUUCAUUUUUAGAUAUUUUUGUGUAUAUUAGGACAAUCUUGAGUCGAUUUAACCAAGGAUGACGAGAGAUGAACAAGGAUGAAAAACUCUGAAGAGAAUUCUUGUCCAGGGUGAAACGCAAAAAAUUUACAUAUAUCAAGUAGAACUGAAAACAAAGAAUAUUGAACUAUUGCAAUAUGUCAGCUGUUUCAAUCGUUGCCAUCAUGGUAUAGUGGUAAAGACUGAGGCCAUCAUGAGCGAAAGUUGUGGACCGUUUCCAGGUAAAACUCUCGUAACUUUUCGUAUAAUUUUUCUUUAUUUCGUUUUGCCAUUAUUUUUCAAAAAAACUGGCUAAAUCGUACCUCCUAACAGCUGAAAAUUCAUUUUGCGAUAUCUUUUUAAUAUUAGAACAAUCAUGAGUCGAUUUAACCAAGGCUGACGAAUGAUGAACAAGGAUGAACAACUCUGAAGAGAAUUCUUGUCCAGGCUGAAAUGCAAAAAAUCUACAUACACAAUUAGAACUGAAAACAAAGAAUAUUGAACUAUUGCAAUAUGUUAGCUGUUUCCAUCGUUGCCAUCAUGGUAUAGUGGUAAAGACUGAGGCCAUCAUGACCGAAAGUUGUGGACCUUUUCCAGAUAAAACUCUAGUAACUUUUCGUAUAAUUUUUCUUUAUUUCUUUUUGCCAUUAUUUUUCAAAAAAAGUGUCUAAAUCGCACCUACUAACAGCUGAAUAUUCAUAUUUAGAUAUUUUUUGUAUAUUAGGACAAUUUUGAGUCGAUUUAACCAAGGAUGACGAGAGAUGAACAAGGAUGAACAACUCUGAAGAGAAUUCUUGUCCAGGGUGAAUUGCAAAAAAUCUACAUACAUCAAGUAGAACUGAAAACAAAGAAUAUUGAACUAUUGCAAUAUGUUAGCUGUUUCCAUCGUUGCCAUCAUGAUAUAGUGGUAAAGACUGAGGCCAUCAUGACCGAAAGUUGUGGACCGUUUCCAGAUAAAACUCUCGUAACUUUUCGUAUAAUUUUUCUUUAUCUCUUUUUGCCAUUAUUUUUCCAAAAAAGUUUCUAAAUCGCACCUCCUAAUAGCUGAAUAUUCAUAUUUAGAUAUUUUUUGUAUAUUAGGACAAUUUUGAGUCGAUUUAACCAAGGAUGACGAGAGAUGAACAAGGAUGAACAACUCUGAAGAGAAUUCUUGUCCAGGGUGAAUUGCAAAAAAUCUACAUACAUCAAGUAGAACUGAAAACAAAGAAUAUUGAACUAUUGCAAUAUGUUAGCUGUUUCCAUCGUUGCCAUCAUGGUAUAGUGGUAAAGACUGAGGCCAUCAUGACCGAAAGUUGUGGAUCGUUUCCAGAUAAAACUCUCGUAACUUUUCGUAUAAUUUUUCUUUAUCUCUUUUUGCAUUAUUUUUCCAAAAAAGUUUCUAAAUCGCACCUCCUAAUAGCUGAAUAUUCAUAUUUAGAUAUUUUAUGUAUAUUAGGACAAUUUUGAGUCGAUUUAACCAAGGAUGACGAGAGAUGAACAAGGAUGAACAACUCUGAAGAGAAUUCUUGUCCAGGGUGAAAUGCAAAAAAUCUACAUACAUCAAGUAGAACUGAAAACAAAGAAUAUUGAACUAUUGCAAUAUGUUAGCUGUUUCCAUCGUUGCCAUCAUGGUAUAGUGGUAAAGACUGAGGCCAUCAUGAGCGAACGUUGUGGACCGUCUCCAGGUAAGACUCUCGCAACUUUUCGUAUAAUUUUUCUUUAUUUCUUUUUACCAUUAUUUUUCCAAAAAUGUUUCUAAAUCGCACCUCCUAACAGCUGAAUAUUCAUUUUUAGAUAUUUUUUUUUAUAUUAGGACAAUUUUGAGUCGAUUUAACCAAGGAUGACGAGAGAUGAACAAAGAUGAACAACUCUGAAGAGAAUUCUUGUCCAGGGUGAAAUGCAAAAAAUCUACAUACAUCAAGUAGAACUGAAAACAAAGAAUAUUGAACUAUUGCAAUAUGUUAGAUGUUUCCAUCGUUGCCAUCAUGGUCUAGUGGUAAAGACUGAGGCCAUCAUGGUCUAGUGGUAAAGACUGAGGCCAUCAUGAGCGAACGUUGUGGACCGUCUCCAGGUAAGACUCUCGUAACUUUUCGUAUAAUUUUUCUUUAUUUUGUUUUUGCCAUUAUUUUUCCAAAAAUGUCUCUAAAUCGCACCUCCUAACAGCUGAAUAUUCAUUUUUAGAUAUUUUUUUGUAUAUUACGACAAUUUUGAGUCCAUUUAACCAAGGAUGACGAGAGAUGAACAAGGAUGAACAACUCUGAAGAGAAUUCUUGUCCAGGGUGAAAUGCAAAAAAUCUAAAUACAUCAAGUAGAACUGAAAACAAAGAAUAUUGAACUAUUGCAAUAUGUUAGCUGUUUCCAUCGUUGCCAUCAUGGUAUAGUGGUAAAGACUGAGGCCAUCAUGAGCGAACGUUGUGGACCGUCUCCAGGUAAAACUCUCGUAACUUUUCGUAUAAUUUAUCUUUAUUUCUUUUUGCCAUUAUUUUUCCAAAAAUGUCUCCAAAUCGCACCUCCUAACAGCCGAAUAUUCAUUUUUUGAUAAUUUUUUGUAUAUUAGGACAAUUUUGAGUCGAUUUAACCAAGGAUGACGAGAGAUGAACAAGGAUGAACAACUCUGAAGAGAAUUCUUGUCCAGGGUGAAAUGCAAAAAAUCUACAUACAUCAAGUAGAACUGAAAACAAAGAAUAUUGAACUAUUGCAAUAUGUUACCUGUUUCCAUCGUUGCCAUCAUGGUCUAGUGGUAAAGACUGAGGCCAUCAUGGUCUAGUGGUAAAGACUGAGGCCAUCAUGAGCGAAUGUUGUGGACCGUCUCCAGGUAAGACUCUCGUACCUUUUCGUAUCAUUUUUCUUUAUUUCUUUUUGCCAUUAUUUUUCCAAAAAUGUCUCUAAAUCGCUCCUCCUAACAGCUGAAUAUUCAUUUUUUGAUAUUUCUUUGUAUAUUAGGACAAUUUUGAGUCGAUUUAACCAAGGAUGACGAGAGAUGAACAAGGAUGAACAACUCUGAAGAGAAUUCUUGUCCAGGGUGAAAUGCAAAAAAUCUACAUACAUCAAGUAGAACUGAAAACAAAGAAUAUUGAACUAUUGCAAUAUGUUAGCUAUUUCCAUCGUUGCCAUCAUGGUAUAGUGGUAAAGACUGAGGCCAUCAUGAGCUAACGUUGUGGACCGUCUCCAGGUAAGACUCUCGUAACUUUUCGUAUAAUUUUUCUUUAUUUCUUUUUGCCAUUAUUUUUCCAAAAAUGUCUCUAAAUCGCACCUCCUAACAGCUGAAUAUUCA